AGGUCUCCAACAUCAAUUCGGAGUUUGGCCGACCGACCUGUCGACCCUAAAAUGGCUCUCGUAUCUUGCAACAUUUAAGAAUAACAAUCAGUCUCUUGUAAUGCUUUCAUUCUGUUAAUAUUGUUUAAUUCAAUAUUUGAUUUGCCAUCUUUAAUGCCUUUUAAAAUUAAAAUGAUUCCAAAAUACGAAUGCUUGGUACUGAGGUAAAAGUUAUAUAUCUAGAAAAACUAAAAAAAUCUACUAGCAAUUAUUUACACCUAGUAGAAUAAACAAACAAUUUGUAAAUUAUCACGAUCGAAUAGAAACAUUUGAGCCACAGAUUGAAUCAAUGGAUAAAGAUCAAGAUAAAAGAUUCUCAAGAUUCACAAGAGUGACUAAUAAACCAGUUUGAUCUAAAUAUGCAUUUCAACAAAUUGUAUAAAUUCAACAACUUGCAAACCUUGAAGCUUCAUAUAAUACAAAUUCAUAUAUGGAACAAUUGAAUCAAGAACGAUAUGUCAUUAAAAAAGACAUCUUCAUCAUUUACAUAAUUAUCAUAUCAACUACUUGGGAAGCUUCCAUCAUUAAUGUUGAACCUCGCUCAAACCGACACUAGACGUAGAGAAUCUACGUACAAAAAAAAUAUUCAAUAAAACGGAUAAGGAAUGCUCUAGAAAUCAAGUUAAUUCGUAUUCCACUGUAAUAUAAACAAUACAUUUAUUUGGAUUCUACCAAUUGUCAACAUAAAUGUAAUGUCUUACAAGCGUAUCAUUCUUAUGAAAGAGCCUACAAUCCGGAAUCUUACAGGUCGAAUAUCACAAUAGCAGCAUGAAUAACUACAUUAAUUUGUCCAAUGAUUUACAAGGUAUACCGUCAUCGUUACUGGAACAACAUGCUAUGUAUCCAAAUAUAUGUUGCUGCAAAACGUCACUCAGCCUGUAAAAUA